CAGACAGCCAGGAUGUUGGCUUAGAAGCAGCCAUCAUUUAAAGAAAGCGUAAUAGCUCACUGGUCGAGUCGGCCUGCGCGGAAGAUGUAACGGGGCUAAACCAUGCACCGAAGCUGCGGCAGCGACGCUUAUGCGUUGUUGGGUAGGGGAGCGUUCUGUAAGCCGUUGAAGGUGUGCUGUGAGGCAUGCUGGAGGUAUCAGAAGUGCGAAUGCUGACAUAAGUAACGAUAAAGCGGGUGAAAAGCCCGCUCGCCGGAAGA
rnacentral:rRNA from 1 species